rnacentral:sRNA from 1 species
UAAACACGAUGGAUUUUCCUUACACUUGA